ensembl:rRNA 5S_rRNA 5S ribosomal RNA
UGCCACAGCCAUAUCACCCUGUAGCCCAAGACUGGUUGCCCACUGAAGCUAAGCAGGGUUGAGCAACUAGGUUGCUGCUGGAA